AAGGGAAGCCUGGUGUGCCCCGAGUCCUUGUCGCUGAGAAGGCAGUGAGCUGUGGACUUGGAGGAAGAGCAUGGAAGACCUCUUUGAGGAGAUGCUGUUUGAACUGAGCUCUGAAAGCUGCCCUAGGAGCAGCUUCUGUCCAUCUGAACGUUAGACACGUGGGGAAGCUAAGUCACUGGCAGCUAGUAGUAGAAAUAAUCCUCUCCACUGCCAAAUUUUAAUUUAAGUAGUAAGGGCAGGUUUUCAUAUUUUUAAUAAAUCCUUUACAGAUAAAUAUCAGAUUAUGCACAUACAGAAAUGUAUGUGUAUGUACUACCUUUCUAUUAUUCUAAUUAUGACUUACUCCCCUGUAAAAAAUUCAGCAGGUUUCAAAGAGUUCAUUGUGUAAACAAAGUUUUACAGAUGUGGGAUACUUCACUUCCUUCUUUUUUGGAUAAUUGGUUAUUGCGUAGGCUUUCCUGUGUCCUUACUUCGUCCCUGAAUAUUUUUGGAAAGUAUGUGCUCAUGGGUGUUUAUGCCAUUCAGUGUGUGGCAGAACUAAGUAAAAUUCUCCUUCUGCCGUUUUGGAUUUAACACAUUUGGGUGUUGUCAGCCCCAUCUAAGAGGUAUUUUGAGAUAGAUUUGCUACAUUAACUGGACAUCACAAAAACAUUACUCACAAUGCAGAAACAUUGUUGGUAAUUAUUUAUGAUAAGUCUUUACUCUGAGGUAAAUAAAAGCUUUUUUAAAAAAGUACAAUUCUAACAAGUUUGAACAUCUGCCUCCUUUAAAAGUUUGACAGUAUGUUUCACACUUUAUCUUGGCUACCCUUGUCCCACUUAAAUUAAUAAUUGAUAAUAUUUUGAAUGUAUUUGGGUCCCCUAAUUGAUGCCUAAUAAAAAGCUAGCUGUGGGAACGCAUUGAUCUUUGCAAACAUUUCCCGGCUGCAUGUAUAUCUCUAGAAAAAAUGCUUUCACUUUCAAGAUGAUGCCACAAAAAGUGAUUUCCAAGCCUUCUUAUAUGCCUGCUUAGAAAGUGAUCACUAUAACUUUUAUUGUGUUGCUUUUUUUUUAGAAAAAGGGUAGUGCUGAUGAACCAACCAAAGUAUCACAUUUUUAUGGUUGACCUUUGAAAAGCAUGGGGGUUAUAGAAUUUGUCACAUUUAAUUUAAUUAUAUUUAUGCACAGAUCGAAGCAUUAGAUUAUGAUCGAUUGGGGUGGACGGGGAGUUAUCAGCACAAAGAAGCCCUAAUCCCAAAGAUCACCUUGUCAGGUGACCUGCAGAGCAGUGGCGUCACUGCAGGAAAGGGGAGGAAGGAGUUGAACCAAGGGCAGACACAAAGUUUCCAAUGUCUCACUUGGAUGAAAAACUCAGAAGUUUUAGUUUCAAGUGGAAUUGGAGCUUUCAAAAUUAUGUCAGUAUUGGGAAGCUGAAUCUCGCUGUGUCGGCCUUGUUUAUCUUUUCGUGUCUUUGUGCUGUGGCGAUGUCACAACGCUGCACUCAACUGUGUAGCUUAGGCCUUUAUUGGAAAGCUAGGUUCUGAAUGCGUCUGGAAAAUGCCAAACAUUGACUUCAUGCGAGUGCAAGUUGGGAUACAUUCUUUGAAUUUAGGAUUAUGUGAUGCCCCCACCUUUAUAUGGAUUUUUUUUGAAAGUCUGAGACCUUUUUGCAGAUCUAAGGGGAGUGGAGAUGAGUAGAGAUUCUGUGUUCUGUUGAAUGUGGGUCAUCUUCACGUUUCUGAGGUGGACAGGUUUGAACAGCAAUGUGUCUGACCUUCCAUGUGCAUUCCUCUUACACUCACUCAUUUUCAAGGGACAGAGACCUGUAGUCUAACCUUCCACCUUCAGGAAGACGGGAUUAUUGUCUUGUUUUAUAGAUUAGAAGACUAGGGCCCGAGAAAUAGUCAUAAUUAAAUGGCAGGCAGUUUGAGAUGCGGAUAAAAUCCCAGUUUCUUUAGCUCUUACCACUGUGCCUCUCCAAUCACAUGGUUUUCUUGAUGGACGCUCACUCUGUGUAAAAGGGGAGAAGGAGACGGAGCAUAUAUCUAGUUGCUUUUCUUGUUCUUUUCAUGUCCCAGUACUGGCUCUGCUGCCCAGCUGUGAGCCCUGAGGAAAGUGAUGCCAGGCGGUGGCCCAACUUUGAUCACCCAAACCAUAGCAAUGACACUUUGAGUAGCAGAGGUAUUGAUGGUGUCCAGACGCUCCUGUCACCCGGGUCAGGAAGCCAGUAUCUCUUUCCUUUAAGCUUCUGCAACUGCAAUUUAAGAUGAAAGGAGAACAGUGUCUUCAGAGUGCUGAUAGGAAGUCAGACUAUGUUCUGUUCCACAUCCAGCCCUUUCUUCUCCCGAGAAGACUUAGAAGGGUGGAUUAAGCUGCUGUCUGCUUUACACUGACACCACCCUGCGUUUGGGUAGUUAGACUCCCUCAGGACUUCUACUCAGGUUGUUUUUCAGCGCCAUUUUUCUACAAGCAUUUUUAAAAGACGCCUGAUGUGUUCCUCACUGGUGAUGCCAGCAGGGUUCAGCCUUGGACUGUAAGAGAAAUUUGUGACAUGCGAUGACAUCACCUCUUUCCAAUGUGUGCAGUGCUGUUUUCUCCUUCCUUUCCUUUCCAUCCCAUCCCAUCUGUUUCCUGUUUUUGUUUUUCUUUUUUAAGAAUGUGCUGGUUCUCUACUUUAAAACAUAAUGAAUUCUAACUGGAAACAUUCAGAAGAGCACAGAGAGAAAAAAAAUAACAUAAACUGUCUCUCAGAAAUUCUUAGUGUUGAUGUGUAUCCUUGAAGGGAAUUUACACAUAUGCAUAUAUUUUUAAAAAUUGGAAUAGACAAUUUUAUGUACCCUUUCCCCAUUUAACAUUGCAUAAUGAAAAUCCUUUUAUCAUUAAAUAAUUUAAUAAAUAUUUAUCAUUUUUAUAAA